rnacentral:tRNA from 1 species
AAGACCUAUAGGACUCUAACCUACAUCCACUGGUUGCAACCCAGUCACUUUAACUAAAUUAAGGCCUCG